AAAACAAGCGGUUCGCACGUCUAAAACCACCCAGGGAACAGAGGGGUUUCCAGAAAAUAUGAGCAGAGGCCACUGCACGCUUCCACCCACCCCAAGCACCUCCCGGCGACCUCCCUGGAAGAAUACAAUAAUCCCAAGAGGCCCUGCAGGGCAUGGAGAAACUGGAAUCAGAAGGGAGAAGAGCUUUGAGUAUGCCUGAAGCCUGUGAUGCCAAGACUGUUCUCUCUGGAAGUGCCAACCUGUGUAAUAGCCAAGAGGUCCCACUGGCUCCCCUCCCCUCCCAGUGAAUUCUGCAGAGAUUAAAUAUACUGUGGGAAGGAUCUGUGUCUACAGUGUUACAUACGUGCAGGUAAGUUUUAUUUUAAAUAAACUU
rnacentral:antisense_RNA from 1 species